rnacentral:tRNA from 1 species
GGGACUGUAGCUCAAUUGGGAGAGCACCAGCAUGGCAUGUUGGGGGUCGCGAGUUCGAGCCUCGUCAGUUCCA